UACGAAGGGUGCAAGCGUUAUUCGGAGUUACUGGGCGUAAAGAGCGUGUAGGCGGUUCUAAAAGUCUGUUGUUAAAUCGCCCGGCUCAACCGGGCACCGGCAAUAGAAACUCUAGGACUAGAGUAUAAGAGAGAGAAGUAGAAUUCUCGGAGUAGCGGUAAAAUGCGUAGAUCUCGAGAGGAAUACCGAUGGCGAAGGCAGCUUCUUGGCUUAUUACUGACGCUAAAGCGCGAAAGCGUGGGGAGCAAACAGG
rnacentral:rRNA from 1 species